UACGGAGGGGGCUAGCGUUGUUCGGAAUUACUGGGCGUAAAGCGCACGUAGGCGGCUUUGUAAGUUAGAGGUGAAAGCCCGGGGCUCAACUCCGGAAUUGCCUUUAAGACUGCAUCGCUAGAAUUGUGGAGAGGUAAGUGGAAUUCCGAGUGUAGAGGCGAAAUUCGUAGAUAUUCGGAAGGACACCAGUGGCGAAGGCGACUUACUGGACACAUAUUGACGCUGAGGUGCGAAAGCGUGGGGAGCAAACAGG
rnacentral:rRNA from 1 species